AAUUCCAGAUGUCCUGAACCACUAACCAGUGAGCCUGUGAACAUGAAACUUUACAGGCAUGGUUGUUUAUUUAUAAUAUACAGUGGUGCUCAUAAAAGUUUGGACAAUUAUUAUGACAUUUAAACAAUCUUAUGUGCAUUUGUUUUCUUCUUUAAGAUCAAAUAAUACAAGUUUUAAUUCCUUUGAAAAUUUUACUCUGCGGGAAAACUUUAGUUCCGGCGGUAGGUAGAUCAAAAUUGAUUGAGAUUCAAAAUAAAUUUAAAUUUUUGAAAUUUUAUCAAAUAUUUUUUCAUGGUUUCCAACCGACAGUUUUGAUUUUGAAAUAAACAGAGUUGUCAGCGCUAAAAUUGUGUUUACUUAAUUGAAAAGCUAAAUAACACUUUAAAAUGAAAUAAAGUUCUCUGAUGCAGUUUACCAAUUCAUUAUACUGAUAAGGAAUCAUUUGACGCAGUACUUAAGCUUUCCUCAACGCGGUUGUUCUGAUUUUAUUGCUGAACGUUGAAAUGAGAUUAAAACAUAAAAAAUAUUCGUUUUGAAAAUCUGUAUUGUCAAUUUAUUAGAUACAUUGUAUACAGAGUCUAUUAUUCAUUCAUAAUCUACUAGACUUCUAGGUAAGGUUUUCAGCGAAAAGGGGAAAUUGUUUCGUGAUAAGAAAUGUUUUCCCAAAAAUUUUGUAUUUUUUUGCAUUUCGUUUGCUUCAGAAUUUUUUUCGCGAAAUUUCUCUUUUAUCCGUUUCGCGAAAUAAAAAAUGCGAAAAUUUCUGGAAAAUAAAAUACCAAAUUUUUGCGAAUUUUUUAUCAGACACUUAUUAAAGUAAAGGGAGAGAAAUUAUUUAUUAUAAUUUCUAUUUAUAUACGUCAUGUAACACCCAUUAUAAAGUGCGAAAAAGAUUUUGCCGGGGUCAAAAUAAAUGCAAGGAUCGAUGCUGGAGAAGCAAGUAACCGUAUAGAGGGUCAGGUGUAUUGAACCCUCUUUCUUAUCUAAAGAACAACAUUUAUCUUGCCAGCAGAGAAAGUAGAUCGUCGGUGAUCUUAGCCCUGAUGUUCCACAGGGGAGGGAGUUAGCAUCAAGCAUCCGAUCAGAAGAGUCAAAUGGAAAUAUAUUUGCUCCUGGCGAAUGUCAUGUAUACUUAGAUCAACUCUAGUUGGUUCAACAAUAAGCGUUUGUAUCAUUAUAAUGUAAAUAUAUUGUGUGUUCAACCAUGCCUUGUUAUUUCAUUCAAUCUGGGGUUUUUAAUACUGAAUUUUUUUCAAGUCUAUAAUACACAUUACAAUAACAUAUAAAGUUUUACUCAAUUUUACCCAACUUAUUUAAUAGCAGGUGUGGACAAAGUUACUUUAUCACCCUCUUGUAAAACACAAACAAAAAUAUUUUGCAACUGAUGAGAAUCUGUCUACAGAGUAUAAAAAUAAGUUUACAUUGUAAAAAAAAGAACAAAUAAUGUUUGAUACUAAUGAGUUAAAUAAAGCCAGAGCUCUCUGGCAGACUCUCCGCCUAUCUUCCGCCUCAUAUGACAGAUGAGAGUUCAGACUUUAAGGAAGGGGCUCAAUGUACCUCACGAAUUGUUAUCUGGAACGUUCCAUCUUAGCUUUUAUGGAUUUAUCUUUUAGGAUGGGAAACCGGAGUCCGAAGCUGGAUAGAAACGAACCAAAGAAGAACAACGUCUAUCUAGCGACAUUAAAUAUAUGUAUCCUCAUUUUUAAUUUUCGCUGAUAUAAAGAUCAAAAUUUUGACGAGGGGUCCUUUCAGCUGUCCAAUCUGUCAGAUCUACAGGCUACAGCACGGUUUCUCGUUAAAAACUUUAAUAGAGCGAGGUAAAUUAAAUCAGUAAAAAGAAAUAUAUUUAUCAAAAAUCAUGUCAAGUCCAAACUGUAACAUUU
rnacentral:lncRNA from 1 species